rnacentral:rRNA from 1 species
AUGAACGCUGGCGGCAUGCCUAAGACAUGCAAGUCGAACGAAGUGGUCCAAUGAAGAUGGAGUGCUUGCACGAAAUCAGAUUUGGGUUGCCACUUAGUGGACGAAAGGGUGAGUAACACGUAGGUUAUCUACCUUUAAGACUGGAAUAACAAUUAGAAAUGAUUGCUAAUACCGGAUGAUAUAUAGAGUGAUACGUUACUUUAUAUUAAAAGGAGCCUUUAAAGCUUCACUUAAAGAUGGACCCGCGUCUGAUUAGCUGGUUGGUGAGGUAACGGCCCACCAAGGCGACGAUCAGUAGCCGACCUGAGAGGGUGACCGGCCACAUUGGGACUGAGACACGGCCCAAACUCCUACGGGAGGCAGCAGGUGGGGAAUAUUGCACAAUGGGGGAAACCCUGAUGCAGCGACGCCGCGUGGAGGAAGAAGGUCUUCGGAUUGUAAACUCCUGUUGUUGAGGAAGAUAAUGACGGUACUCAACAAGGAAGUGACGGCUAACUACGUG